GUUGCACACAUGACAUGAAUGUAGCAAAAUAUGUUCUCAUGUGCACAGGAUGUUUCAUGUCUGAAUAAUGUUUGCUCAUAAUAUAAUUCUUAUAAUGAUAAUAAUUCCUCAUGGCAAAAAAAUGCAGAUACUUAAACUCCAUUUGAGGUAAGGACUUUCCGCCAAACUGGAGAUGGCCACUGUUUUCCAGUCAAGCAUUAUGGUUUUUGACUUAGAGGUGCUGUUUCUUUCCCUGCUAUGUCACACUCAGCAGCAAACCGUCCCACUGCAUGCUGAAGGUCCAUGUCCAGAGUACCCCCGGGGUCUUAAAAGCAUUGAAAAACUCUUAAAUUUCGUAAUCUCAAAUUAAGGCCUUAAAAAGCUUAUUGUAGGUUAAUUUUUUUUAUAUACAUGGAAAAGUGUGUUAAAAUAUCAUGUAAUACCAUAACAUAACAUAUUGAAAUGUUUUUGAAAGCGCAAGGGUACAAAAUGUAAGGAAAAGUGUCUGUUUCUGACCCUCUUCUGGGAAAACUACAAUCACGUACAUGACGUCAGAACAGGGACUUAUAAGCUGCGCUCUGCCUGAGAACUGUGCAGAGUAGGUUGGUAGUUAGCAGGAUCGGUUUUACGUAAGUGUGUUUUUGGUAGCGAGUAGUGUAAGUGAUCAUCAUCAUGGUAAAUUAUUGUGUUUGUGGAGGCUGCACAAACUCUGGCACGUCAGGACAUCGAAUCCACAAGUUUCCUGACAGGAAAAAGGAUGGAGCCCUCUUUUGUGCUUGGAUGCACUUUGUGCAGGUAAAGAGGCGCGAUUUCACUUCAGCAUCUGUUUCGAAAAACUCGGUGGUGUGUGGUGCUCAUUUUCAAAAGGAAGAUUAUUGUCCUGGUGAUCUGAUGCAGUUUGAAAUGGAAUGCCGAAACAAGAAUCGCGUCAGACUCCAAGCUGGCGCGGUUCCUUCGGUGCACACUGUGCCUUCGUCAGGCCCGCCUUCCACCUGUCGUUCUCCCACUGGCGGGAAACAUGCUCUUCACGGAUCAGUCAGAGAUGGAGCUUGACGAAAACGUGAAUUGUGCACGAUUUUGGAGGAUGCUCAUGCUGCAAGAAAUGAAGGGAUAGAUGCAUCUGCAGCCAGUUAUGCUGUGCUAGCUGACGUGGAGCACGAGGUUUUCUCUCCACUGUCUACUCGUUCCUCUGUGCUUCACUUUGGCUCACAGUGUAACCUUAGACCUUCACUUCAUUCAUCAGGUAUAUUACCAUUGUUCCCUUGUCUAAGUAAUUAUGCAUGGCACUUACCUAUUUGUUUACAUAAAAUACAAGGAAAAAAUAAGUGACAAAUUAUUACUCAAAUAUUUGUGUGUGAUGCUGAAAUGUUUAACCUCCAUUUAAAAAAAUUAUUUGAAUUUGUUUAUUUAGACCUUGUCACAGUUGUUUAAUUAUGCAGUAAUUUUACAGCAAUCAGUACUUCAGACAGUUGUUUGAUUUUGCACUUGGCAAUGAAUAUGCUGUUUCACAAUUAUGUAAAGCUGGACAUUGUGUUUGUUCUAGCUGUUGUGAUGUUUGAUGGGUCAGGUGACAUUAAUCAUGUGAGACACAAAAGAUCACUGAUGUAUUCUGAUAUUCCUAUGCGUAAAAGCACAACUCUUAGUGAUGAAGUGAAACGUAAGAGACAGAACAGGCGGCUCCGGCAGAGGGCGCGCCGAAUCAACAAACCAGCUAGACGAACUCUCUGUGAACCCUUAGGUACUUCAAGUUACCCCCUCCCUUGUACUUUAGAUGAACCCCCUCCUCGUACUUCUACCGAGCUCUCUACCCAGCUCCUUGCCGAGCUCGAACACCUAAAUCUGGGGCAUAACUGAGGGAAGUGAGGCUGAUAUUAAAAAGGCCCAUGUAUUGAUUUCUAUGUACUCAUAUAUCUGUCUUCCUAUUGUUCAAGUGAUUUAGCAUGCUCCUUGAAUGUAUGAGUUAAGUAGUUUUUGCAUGAUUUAUGAACACUAUUAUAUGAGACACUGAGUAUAAAAGCUGACUUGUACUCUUCAGCUUUGCGCUUCCCGACUUCUGUUCAUUGAGGUUGGUUGCCCUUUGUCUCUAACGGGAGGCAAAGUAAGGAUUUCUUGUUUUCUGUUUGUCUUUUGUUUGUUCUACUUUUUCACUGGAUUUUAUUUUAUUAAUAAAAGUGUAUUUUAUUAAUUUUCUUCACUGGAGUGGACAUUGACUUCAUUUUCCAGAACCCAUCUAAGUUACCCUGUGUGGUAAAGUAUGCUCUAAUUUAUUCUUUUGCAAAAUACGUUCUUUAAAGACGAUCCUUUAACUAAACUCUUGCUAAGAAAUAUAGCUAAGGGAGGAUCCUGAUCUUAACUUUGUUUAAUUAGGGUGAUUAAAUAAAGGGAAAUCAGCACACUGUCCAAGCAAAGCCCAAAAUGUUCAGUGUGGGGACUCAGACAGAAAUGUGUACGCAACAAACAUCAACCCCACUGGCCAGCCCUGUACACAGCGAUGAGGAAUCUGUUGUGAUGGAAGAACCUUAUGAUGUUUCAUGGAUGCCAGAGGAGGAAAUGACAAUUGACACAUCUACUGAGGAACCAGUGCCAGAAUCUCAUCCUGACUCAAAUGCUCCUGACAAGUUUAUUGUGUGCCUGAGCCAGCUGAUGUAUUUAUUUGCAAUAUGCCCAGCAUGUUGUGAGGACACACAUUGUGAAGCAGGAGGGAACUUUUGUAAAAAUUC